AACGAACGCUGGCGGCAUGCCUAACACAUGCAAGUCGAACGAGCUCUUCGGGUCUAGUGGCGCACGGGUGCGUAAUGCGUGGGAAUCUGCCCUUUGGUUCGGAAUAACAGUUGGAAACGACUGCUAAUACCGGAUGAUGACGAAAGUCCAAAGAUUUAUCGCCAGAGGAUGAGCCCGCGUAGGAUUAGCUAGUUGGUGUGGUAAAGGCGCACCAAGGCGACGAUCCUUAGCUGGUCUGAGAGGAUGAUCAGCCACACCGGGACUGAGACACGGCCCAGACUCCUACGGGAGGCAGCAGUGGGGAAUAUUGGACAAUGGGCGAAAGCCUGAUCCAGCAAUGCCGCGUGAGUGAUGAAGGCCUUAGGGUUGUAAAGCUCUUUUACCCGGGAUGAUAAUGACAGUACCGGGAGAAUAAGCUCCGGCUAACUCCGUGCCAGCCGCCGCAGUAA
rnacentral:rRNA from 1 species